UACACAUGCAAGUCGAGCGAUGAAACACCUUCGGGUGUGAAUUAGCGGCGAACGGGUGAGGAACACGUGAAGAAUCUGCCUUCAACUCUGGGAUAACUCCGGGAAACCGGGGCUAAUACCGGAUAUGAGCCUCGAUCGCAUGAUUGGGGCUGGAAAGUUUUUCGGUUGAAGAUGACUUCGCGGCCUAUCAGCUUGUUGGUGAGGUAAUGGCUCACCAAGGCGACGACGGGUAGCCGGCCUGAGAGGGCGACCGGCCACACUGGGACUGAGACACGGCCCAGACUCCUACGGGAGGCAGCAGUGGGGAAUAUUGGGCAAUGGAGGAAACUCUGACCCAGCGACGCCGCGUGAGGGAUGAAGGCCUUCGGGUUGUAAACCUCUUUCAGUAGGGAAGAAGCGAAAGUGACGGUACCUACAGAAGAAGCACCGGCUAACUAUGUGCCAGCAGCCGCGGUAAUACAUAGGGUGCAAGCGUUGUCCGGAAUUAUUGGGCGUAAAGAGCUCGUAGGUGGUUCGAUACGUCGGAUGUGAAAAUCAGGGGCUCAACCCCUGACCUGCAUCCGAUACGGUCGAGCUAGAGUUUGGUAGGGGAGACUGGAAUUCCUGGUGUAGCGGUGGAAUGCGCAGAUAUCAGGAGGAACACCGAUGGCGAAGGCAGGUCUCUGGGCCAAUACUGACACUGAGGAGCGAAAGCGUGGGGAGCGAACAGGAUUAGAUACCCUGGUAGUCCACGCCGUAAACGGUGGGCGCUAGUUGUGCGAACCUUCCACGGUUUGUGCGACGCAGCUAACGCAUUAAGCGCCCCGCCUGGGGAGUACGAUCGCCAGAUUAAAACUCAA
rnacentral:rRNA from 1 species